rnacentral:misc_RNA from 1 species
AUAUUUUGAAUUAAGUAUAUUCAUAAUAUGUUAUCAGACGAAUGUUGUUAAAGAUAUAGGUUGAUGGUUGGCCGAUCUCCAUAAAGAAGAUCGACUGACAUUGCACACAAGGUGGAUAUGGAUUUAAAAAGUGCCAUAAAACACUUAUUAUGAAUGAUCCUUCCGCAGGUUCACCUACGGAAA